CGGUCUUUACUGAUGCCCGGGGCGCGACCAUGGGCAGGGGGAUGCUCGGGUGGGAGGAGGGGAACAUCGAAGAGGACGGAGAGUCUCCAGGAUGACCGGGCAGCAAAAAGGAGUCAUUAUCGCAGAGUACGAUCAUCAUCGUCUUCAAUUCAGGAAACUAAGUCACAGAGACUGUGUCUCUACCUGGUGCCAUCAACCCAUGGAGGGAACUGCCAGUUCCUGUGAUGGCCAGUGGAGGGAGCGACCCCACUGCUGCUUCUACCUGCUACAGAUUCAGCUGUGAUGACUGACUUCCUUCACUACAACUCCUCUGAGCAGAACACACCUAAAUAUGAAAUGAAGUGUGUGCCUGUGGUAUGUAAAGCCAAUUAAAUAGUUGGACAUGGCACCAGUUCCACCACCCCACCCCAAGCCCCACCCCAGCCAGAGGAUGGAGUAGACUCUCAGGGGCUCUGGCAUGCCACCCUCCCCACUGAUGUGUCUGUAACGGGGGGGGGGGGGGCAGUGUAAAUGGCUCACCUGGAGCCUACUUAUGGAGCUUGUGGGAGCCAGGUAUGUAUG
rnacentral:lncRNA from 1 species